rnacentral:rRNA from 1 species
GACGAACCGAGCGAACGUUAUUCGGAAUCACUGGGCUUAAAGGGCGCGUAGGCGGAUCGAAAAGUCAGGGGUGAAAUCCCACGGCUCAACCGUGGAAGUGCCUCUGAUACUGUCGAUCUCGAGGGAGGUAGGGGCGUGCGGAACUUCCGGUGGAGCGGUGAAAUGCGUAGAUAUCGGAAGGAACACCGGUGGCGAAAGCGGCGCGCUGGACCUCUUCUGACGCUGAGGCGCGAAAGCCAGGGGAGCAAACGGG